CAGAGGGUGCGAGCGUUGUUCGGAAUUACUGGGCGUAAAGCGCGCGCAGGCGGCUUCUUAAGUCUGCCGGUGAAACGCCGGGGCUCAACCCCGAGCGUGCCGGAGAUACUGGGAGGCUGGAGACGAGUAGAGGCGAGCGGAAUUCCGGGUGUAGCGGUGGAAUGCGUAGAGAUCCGGAAGAACACCGGAGGCGAAGGCGGCUCGCUGGGCUCGGUCUGACGCUGAGGCGCGAAAGCGUGGGAGCGAACAGGAUUAGAUACCCUGGUAGUCCACGCCGUAAACGAUGGGCACUGGGCGCUGGGGGGAUCGACCCUUUCAGUGCCGCAGCUAACGCGAUAAGUGCCCCGCCUGGGGAGUACGGCCGCAAGGCUG
rnacentral:rRNA from 1 species